UGGGGAAUAGUGAACAAUGGGCGGAAGCCUGAUCCAGCCAUGCCGCGUGUGUGAAGAAGGCCUUUUGGUUGUAAAGCACUUUAAGCGAGGAGGAGGCUACUUGGAUUAAUACUCUAGGAUAGUGGACGUUACUCGCAAAAUAAGCACCGGCUAACUCUGUGCCAGCAGCCGCGGUAAUACAGAGGGUGCGAGCGUUAAUCGGAUUUACUGGGCGUAAAGCGUGCGUAGGCGGCUUCUUAAGUCGGAUGUGAAAUCCCUGAGCUUAACAUAGGAAUUGCAUUCGAUACUGGGAAGCUAGAGUAUGGGAGAGGAUGGUAGAAUUCCAGGUGUAGCGGUGAAAUGCGUAGAGAUCUGGAGGAAUACCGAUGGCGAAGGCGGCCAUCUGGCCUAAUACUGACGCUGAGGUACGAAAGCAUGGGGAGCAAACAGG
rnacentral:rRNA from 1 species